rnacentral:rRNA from 1 species
CCUACGGGUGGCAGCAGUGGGGAAUAUUGGGCAAUGGGCGCAAGCCUGACCCAGCAAUGCCGCGUGCAUGAAGAAGGUCUUAGGAUUGGAAAAUUCUGUCCUAUGGGAAGAAAAAAAAUGACGGUACCAUAGGAGGAAGCUCCGGCUAACUACGUGCCAGCAGCCGCGGUAAUACGUAGGGGGCGAGCGUUGUCCGGAUUUACUGGGGGCAAAGAGAGGGGAGGUGGCACUACAAGCCUCAUGUGAAAUACCCGGGCUUAACUUGGGGGUUGCAUGGGAAACUGUAGAGCUUGAGUACAGGAGAGGCAGGCGGAAUUCGUGGUGUAGCGGUGAAAUGCAUAGAUAUUAGGAGGAACACCAGUGGCGAAGGCGGCUUGCUGGACUGAAACUGACGCUGAGGCUCGAAAGCGUGGGGAGCAAACAGGAUUAGAUACCCGAGUAGUC